GCCGGAAUGGCGAAAUUGGUAGACGCAGUAGACUCAAAAUCUGCCGGGAGCAAUCCCUUGCGGGUUCGAUUCCCGCUUCCGGUA
rnacentral:tRNA from 1 species